rnacentral:lncRNA from 1 species
CGUUUUUCACAUCAAUAUGAACCUGAAUUGAUAGCUUGCUGCAUUUUGCGUGUGUCACUCGGAUUGCCUUGUUGGAUAUGCUAGUGGUGUUGAAUGUAUGACGGCCGUCUAUUGGAAUGGCCAGUGUUUUUGGAGCUUCAAAAAUCGUGGUUACGAAUUUUGUGUAGCUUAAUCCAUGCCCGAAUGGGUACACUAAUGGACCUUUGUAGAAACGGUAAGUUCUACCAGGGUAGCCUUUGGCUAAGUUUGAUCGCAUUUCCAUUGUUGUCAUUGGUAAAUUGUUUAGGUACUCCUGUGGAUACCAUGUCAUUGGCAGCUUCCCAUCUGAAAAUAGUAGUAUACAAUCAGUAUAUAAUUGGGACACGUUAAUCGUAAUAAGAAUCAUUUGUAUUUAUUAGCUCUAUUCACUAUGCUAUUUGAGUUGUGGAUCCCUUAGGGAAAAUGAGGAUUAUUUGCACCAUAUGGACUGAAGUAACGUGGAUUGGAUUUAAAUCAAAAACGUCAUUCAAAUGUCUCGAAAAAUGAGUGUGCUACAAUAAGUGAAAGUCCACUUUUGUGCAAAGGUUUUAGUAAUUUAACCUGGAUUAUGGGCUCCAAAAAGGACAUCAGCAAUGGCAGCACCACCAGCUUGUCCAGGAUAGCCAGCCCACACUAUACCGCCAAUUCGAGGAUCGUCAUUGGCAAACGUAACAUCAACUGGGCCUCCAGACAUGAGGACCAAUACCACAGGACCUUUCGAGGCCUUGGAUACUUCGGAGAUGAGUUCUUGUUGGAAUCCAGGCAGUAGUAACCCAGUUCUAUCUCUGAAUUCAGCCUCAAUAGACUGGUCUAGGCCCAUUACUAGCACUGUUGCAUCCGCUUGAUGUGCAGCAUUUACAGCUCCAGCAAAUAAUUUGUCGUCAGUGCAUGCUACAUCACCACAACCUUUUUCGUGAAUGGUCUUUGCAUACUUUGUUAUUCCUUGUAAUGGGCUUGUGUAUCCACAUGCAACACCUAUAUCAAAAGAAGCCCAAUUAGUCCACCUUUCACAUAACAAUGUCACCUGUGAUGCAAAUUGUGACCUUAACUAUUUCUAAGAGGAAAAAAAUAGUUAUUCUUUUUACCUGCGUAAUUUCCAAUCAUUGUGACGGUAACAUCAGAAUUAGGUCCAAUGACAGCAAUAGUAUGAUGGCGUCGAGGAGAAAGAGGAAGAGCAGGCCCAUGAUUCUUAAGAAGAACAAUGCCCUGUCUAGCAGCUUCAAGUGCGAGUUCUUGGUCUGUUAGAAAACGGAUCAUGGAUCACCCAUGUGGACCGACCCAAUCCAACCCGUCACUUAUUUGUUUUUUGAUUAUCAGAAUAGAAAGAAGAUAGGGGAAUAACUUGUUGAUUUAAAUAAAAAAAGGGGUGGGAACAGUUAACUGUUCACCCGCCCAAUUCCCUUAUAAGUAUGCUUCUUCAGACAACAAAACCAAGAAAAAAGAUCAGAAACAAAUAAAAAUACAGUGCAUUUUUAACAAAAACACCAAGAGAAAAGAGCAUUUAGUUUGUGACAUCAAGGCUUUGUUUCCUAGAGAUUCGAAGCAAACUUGGGCAGAUCCUUUCGGAAGCAGAAUCUAUUUCCGCUGCAAACUAAAGGUACACUGUUUUUGCUCCGAAAAUUACUAUCAAUAUCCAAUUGUUUCAAUUGAAAGUUACAAUUACAAUUAACUUCCCAAACAGUAUCUUCCUUCCUCUUAUCUAAUCAAAUCUAAUUUUUGCUUAUCCCCUUGUUGAAUAAGAAUAAUUGGGGAAAAAUAAUCUCCAAUAAACGCAAAGACAUCUUUACGUGGAGAUUUUACCCAAAAAAGAACAAGGCAAAAAAAAAAAAAAUGAUUCAAGAUUUAAUAACUCCAAGAACUGAUGCUUGAAGGGACAGGGAGUGCUUAGCAUCACCAAUGUGAAGACUGUGUUCACCUAUAGGAAUUCUUCGAAUACCAGCCUUAUCUACCACACUUAAAUACUUGCACACAUGAAUAUUUAUCGCCACAUGUUGUUGUGAUCUUGCUGGGACGUGCACUUUUUGAAAUGCGACCAAUUGUUUAUGUGGCGCCCAUAGCCCAACGGGUGGCUUUGAAAAUACGAGCAAUGUGUGCGAACCGUCCUUUGAUCCCACGUUUUUCACAUCAAUAUGAACCUGAAUUGAUAGCUUGCUGCAUUUUGCGUGUGUCACUCGGAUUGCCUUGUUGGAUAUGCUAGUGGUGUUGAAUGUAUGACGGCCGUCUAUUGGAAUGGCCAGUGUUUUUGGAGCUUCAAAAAUCGUGGUUACGAAUUUUGUGUAGCUUAAUCCAUGCCCGAAUGGGUACACUAAUGGACCUUUGUAGAAACGGUAAGUUCUACCAGGGUAGCCUUUGGCUAAGUUUGAUCGCAUUUCCAUUGUUGUCAUUGGUAAAUUGUUUAGGUACUCCUGUGGAUACCAUGUCAUUGGCAGCUUCCCAUCUGAAAAUAGUAGUAUACAAUCAGUAUAUAAUUGGGACACGUUAAUCGUAAUAAGAAUCAUUUGUAUUUAUUAGCUCUAUUCACUAUGCUAUUUGAGUUGUGGAUCCCUUAGGGAAAAUGAGGAUUAUUUGCACCAUAUGGACUGAAGUAACGUGGAUUGGAUUUAAAUCAAAAACGUCAUUCAAAUGUCUCGAAAAAUGAGUGUGCUACAAUAAGUGAAAGUCCACUUUUGUGCAAAGGUUUUAGUAAUUUAACCUGGAU